UACGUAGGGGGCAAGCGUUGUCCGGAAUCAUUGGGCGUAAAGCGCGCGUAGGCGGCCCUGUAAGUCCGCUGUAAAAGUCAAAGGCUCAACCUUUGAAAGCCGGUGGAUACUGCAGGGCUAGAGUCCGGAAGAGGAGAGUGGAAUUCCUGGUGUAGCGGUGAAAUGCGCAGAUAUCAGGAAGAACACCCGUGGCUAAGGCGGCUCUCUAGUACGGUACUGACGCUGAGACGCGAAAGCGUGGGGAGCGAACAGG
rnacentral:rRNA from 1 species